CCACACAGUCGCCAUGGUCAGCGCCGACGGCACCCAGACGCAGCCCGUACGACCAGGCCGCUUGCUUGGGGUUCUUCCUCUCUUGUCCUUCCUUUCUGUGCGACAGGCCUUAAAAAGUGCGGGCUAAAUUAGUCCAGCCUUCUUAGGAGGACCAAGAUUCCCACAGAUAAAGCGUCUUCCCUACAACUCUGGGUCAUCAGCAACUCUCCUUUGUUGACAAGCAUUGAUCUGAGAGUCAAGAGACAGUUUGCUUGCUGCCGUAGGCAUGUUGCAUGUUACUUUUCCAUGAGCUUUAGUCCAUUUUCAAAUGAGGGUAUUAAAUUACCUGUGGGGCGUUUUACAUCUCUGUCCUU
rnacentral:lncRNA from 1 species